UACGUAGGGGGCAAGCGUUAUCCGGAUUUACUGGGUGUAAAGGGAGCGUAGACGGGUUAUCAAGUCAGCGGUAAAAUCGUGGAGCUCAACUCCAUCCAGCCGUUGAAACUGAUGAUCUUGAGUGGGCGAGAAGUAUGCGGAAUGCGUGGUGUAGCGGUGAAAUGCAUAGAUAUCACGCAGAACUCCGAUUGCGAAGGCAGCCUGCUGGACUGUAACUGACGCUGAUGCUCGAAAGUGUGGGUAUCAAACAGG
rnacentral:rRNA from 1 species